AUACUGUGGGGGAGCCUGCCUCUACACUAUUGCAUCAGAAUCAAGUUCGAUUAACUAUUUACGGGCAUACGCACAUGUUUAGUUAUUGCGUUGUUAGUUUUAUUUUAUAUAUUAUUUAAAAUAGAAAAUUAGUGUGUAUUUAUACGUUGUACAAAUACACACUAAUUUACUAUUUAAGAAAUAGUUUUAUGUUAAACUAUUUGUAUUUUUCGUUCAAAAUAAAUUAAGAUUUAUAAUUUAAAAGGUAGUACACAGGAUAUUUCACGUGUUGCUAUAAGGGCCUCAUUAAUUGUCCAACUACAUGGAUGUUUAUAAAGGGAUUGAAAUGCAACAAGACUGCUCUUAUUAAUCAAAAACUUUGUACUUUUCAAAUAUCAAAAUGGUCCUAAGAUCUUAAAUUUAUCGUUUAAUUUUAUUGUUUACAUAGGAGGGUCGUUUGAAAAGUCCUCUUAAAGAGAGAUAUCCCUUCUGGCGCGUAUCGAGGUUAUUUUUAGUUAGUAGCAUCUCUUGGAAGAACUCACACCAACUUUCAGCCAGAUCGGAAAUUUAUUUCUGUUUAGCAUUCAUUUGAAUCGAGGGACGGUCUUCGCCAUUUUGGGCACAGAUUUCCCUUUGAUAACCCAUUGUUUAGAUUCUUGUUUGGUUUUUAGGAGUGUAGUGAUGUAUCCAUGUUUUAUCUACAAUGACGAAGCGACGCUACAAGUCUUGCAGAUUCUUCUGGAACAGCUGCAAACUGUCCUACAAAAACUUCACACGAUUUUGUUUAAAGCCCCCAUCUUGCAGGUAGCUACUUCUUGAACAAAUAUUGAUGCAAGAUAUUAUGUACCUAGUCAUUCAAGAUGCCCACAACACAAGCAAUCUCAAUCACUCUUCUCUUAUUCAUCACCAUAUCAUGGAUUUUAUCAAUUAUUUCUUAAUUAGUAACAUCAACAGGGCGUCCAGAACGUUCAGCGUCAUUUGUACCCAUAUGGGCACUUCGAAAACUUGGAAACCACUCAUAAACUGUUCUAAUUGAAGUUGCAGAGUCCCCAUAAUGUUUAUCAAGCUUCUUUUUAGUCUUUUGAGGUGCUUUGUCUUUCAUUAACUAAUGUUUAAUCAACACACGAGAUUCAUUUUUUGAAAAUCACUUCACUUCCUCGAUUCUAACGAAUUCCAAACAGAAAGAAAUAGACCAAUAUAGCUGGAAAAUGAUGUGUGUUUUACCAAGAAAUGCUACUAAUUAAACAUAACCUCGAUUCGUAACCUCCCAAGUAGUGUCAUCUCUUAGAUCUUUCAAAUGCCCCUCGUAGAUAUAAACAAAAUUAAAAAUACAUUAUUACUAGGGGUCUACCAAUGUAUUGGAAUCGGCAAGAAGUAUACUUUUUUGAAGUAUCAGAAUCAAUUAUCGGAAUCAGCUCAAGAAUAGCGAUUCCACCAUACCUGUAUUGACUUAAUUAAGGAAACAUUAUUUUCAAUUAUCGUGCAUCCAGUAUGUAUGUCGCACAAUAAGAAAAUCUCUAUAUUUUAGACGUCAAACACGUCAUUUCUAAAACAAAUUGUGACUGGGAGGAAAAAUGGAUCACUUACGUCAAUAUCAAGUGACCAGAUAUCGUGUUCGAAAGGCAAAGAAGUGGACCAGACCGUGCCCAUGCCAGUAUUUAUUGUCAUGAAGGUGUUGCUGUGUGUUUGGUGGGAUUGGCCGGGUAUAAUCCACUAUGGACAAAUUCUCAAUUCUACCCUUUACUGUAUACAACUCGAGCGUUUUGAAGCAGGCGAUCGAACAGAAGAAGCCAGGAUAUGUGAAUAGGAGAAGAAUUGUCUUUCAUCAAGCUAGGGCAUACACAUCUUUGAUGGCCCACCAGAAGCUCCGGGAGCUCAGAUGGGAAGUUCUUAUGCAUCCACCCUGCAGUCUGGACUUGGCACCAAGUGGUUGUUCUUGUCUAUGACCAACGCUCAUGGUGGUACAUAUUUGCCCUCAAUAGAUGCUGUGAAAGUUGGUUGUCUGAGUUUUUUGCCAAUAUGGACAAGGGCUUCUAUGAGAAGGGGAUUAUGAAGUUGGAUUCUUGUUGGAAACAAGGUAUGAAACAGAACAGAUCAUACUUGGCUUAAAUUGGAUGAUUUUAACACUUCCUAUAAGUAAUAUUAACCUAUAUCAACCUAUUAUAUAUGACUGUAAAUUAUUCAUUAAUAUUUUAAUUUCAAGGAAUGUCACUAUCUGACAAAAAUGAAGUAUGAGUAACAGUAAUACAUAACAACAAAAUAAAAGCUUUAGUUCUCAAUACCUGACCCUGCAAAUUAAUAAUUUUUUUGUAUAAGGUAAUAUUGUGUUGUUUCUUUGUGAUAAUAAUUCUUUUCUUUUCAUUUUUUUAUUUGCAACACAAAGAAACAUAAUACAAUUUUGGCAAAACACAGUAUCACAAUAUAAUGUGAUUGCAGGGAAAUGUACAUUCUUUAAAUGUUCAUAGCAUGAAAUCCCUAACAUAAAACAAAGGUUUUUACUUAUCGUUUCCUCAUUACCUCAAAGUAUUCUAUCACGAGUACAAUUUUUGGCUGGCAAACUUACAAUUAGUGAUGGAACGAUAAAUAAAUAAAAAAAAUACGUGUGUCCAGUGUCAGUAUGUACAACUGAUGUUUAACCACGCUUUUAAUAUUGACGUCAUGGUAGAUGAGUGGUUGCGUGUUUUGUCAAAAUCUGUUUUUCUUGCCCAGUAGUCGGUAUGAUACAUUAAAUUGAAAAUUCUAACGAUAGUGACGUCAUAGACUAUGAGUGGUGGCGUGUUUUCUUAAAAUCUGACCGUCUUGCCGAGCACUCGGUACAAUACAUCAGAUUGAAAAUUCACCCAAGCCCGCUUACAUGAUGGUCUAACCUUGUAUUUCUAUUAACCUUGGGUAAACUCACUUUCUCGUGACAUCAUUUAAGAUGUAUUUUCUUUUCUUAUUUACUCUAUUAAAUAAUAGAAUCAAUUUAAUAAGUAUGUAUAAAUAUAAUAUUUCAUUUUAUAUUGCAUUAUAAUGAAAAAAUAAACACUU
rnacentral:lncRNA from 1 species